rnacentral:rRNA from 1 species
AACGAACGCUGGCGGCGUGCCUAAGACAUGCAAGUCGUGCGAGAAAGCCACCUUCGGGUGGUGAGUAAAGCGGCGCACGGGUGAGUAACGCGUGGAUAAUCUACCUGUAGGUCUGGGAUAACUCCGGGAAACUGGGGCUAAUACCGGAUAAGACCACGGGAUCUUCGGGUCCUGCGGAAAAAGGUGGCCUCUUCUUGAAAGCUACCGCCUAACGAUGAGUCCGCGUCCCAUUAGCUUGUUGGUGAGGUAAAGGCUUACCAGGGCUUCGAUGGGUAGCUGGUCUGAGAGGAUGAUCAGCCACACUGGAACUGAGACACGGUCCAGACUCCUGCGGGAGGCAGCAGUCGGGAAUUUUGGGCAAUGGGGGAAACCCUGACCCAGCAACGCCGCGUGAGGGAUGAAGGCCCUCGGGUCGUAAACCUCUGUCGGAAGGGAAGAAAGGCCUCCGUUCCAAUAAAGCGGGGGCUUGACGGUACCUUCAAAGGAAGCACCGGCUAACUCCGUG